rnacentral:rRNA from 1 species
GACGAACGCUGGCGGUGUGCUUCACACAUGCAAGUCGAACGAGGUAGCAAUACCUAGUGGCGGACGGGUGAGUAACGCGUGGGAAUCUGCCUUUAGAUGGGGGAUAACGGGUCGAAAGACUCGCUAAUACCGCAUAUGACGAAAGUUGAAAGGAGUAAUCCGUCUAAAGAUGAGCCCGUCGUCCGAUUAGCUAGUUGGUAGAGUAAAAGCCUACCAAGGCGACGAUCGGUAGCUGGUCUGAGAGGAUGAUCAGCCACAAAUGGGACUGAGACACGGCCCAUACUCCUACGGGAGGCAGCAGUGGGGAAUUUUACGCAAUGGGCGAAAGCCUGACGUAGCGACACCGCGUGAGCGAAGAAGCCCCCUUUGGGGUGUAAAGCUCUGUCAGCUGGAACGAAAAAAAUGACGGUACCAGCAGAGGAAGCAUCGGCUAACUACGUGCCAGCAGCCGCGGU